AGCGAACAAGUACCGCGAG
rnacentral:sRNA from 1 species